AGGGUUUGAUCCUGGCUCAGAACGAACGGUGGCGGUGUGCUUAUUCCAUGCAGGUCGAGCGAGAACCGGUUUCGGCCGGGGAGAGCGGCGAAAGGGUGAGUAAUGUAUAGAUAACCUACCUUUGAGUGGGGGACAACAGCACGAAAGUGCUGCUAAUACCGCAUACUAUCAUUUAGAUGCAUAUUUAGAUGAUUAAAGCAGGGGAUCGUAAGACCUUGCGCUUGAAGAGGGGUUUAUAUCCUAUUAGUUUGUUGGUGGGGUAAUGGCCUACCAAGACAGCGAUGGGUAACCGGCCUGAGAGGGUGUACGGUCACACGGGCACUGAGACACGGGCCCGACUCCUACGGGAGGCAGCAGGAAGGAAUAUUGGGCAAUGGGCGCAAGCCUGACCCAGCGACACCGCGUGGAGGACUGAAGGCUUUCGAGUUGUAAACUCCUAACACGUAUUAUGAAAGUUACAGUGCUAAUACCACUUGUAAUAUGACAAAGGUACGAGAUGAAGUCAUGGCUAACUCUGUGCCAGCAGCCACGGUAAUACAGAGAUGGCAACCGUUGUUCGGAAUCACUGGGCUUAAAGAGCACGUAGGCGGAGUGAUAAGUUGAUUGUGAAAGCUCAUGGCUUACCCAUGGAAUUGCAGUCAAAACUGUCACUCUCGAGUCCGGAAGGGGAGAGUGGAACUCCUAGUGGAGCGGUGAAAUGCGUUGAUAUUAGGAGGAACGCCGGUGGCGAAAGCGACUCUCUGGUCCGGAACUGGCGCUGAGGUGCGAAAGCUAGGGGAGCAAACGGGAUUAGAUACCCCGGUAGUCCUAGCCGUAAACGAUGGGUACUAAGUAGGGGGGAAUUAUUUGCCCCUCUGCCGGAGCAAAAGUAUUAAGUACCCCGCCUGGGGAGUAUGGUCGCAAGGCUGAAACUCAAAGGAAUUGACGGGGGCUCGCACAAGCGGUGGAGCAUGUGGUUUAAUUCGAAUCAACGCGAAGAACCUUACCUGGAUUUGACAUGCUAGGAUUAGGUCCCUGAAAGGGGACUGACGCUCUUCGGAGUGGAACUAGUGCAGGUGUUGCAUGGCUGUCGUCAGCUCGUGCCGUGAGGUGUUGGGUUAAGUCCCAUAACGAGCGAAACCUUUAUCCUUAGUUGCCAGCGGCUAGGCCGGGGACUCUAGGGAGACUGCCCACGUUAAGUGGGAGGAAGGUGGAGACGACGUCAAGUCAUCAUGGCCCUUAUGUCCAGGGCUACACACGUGCUACAAUGGUCGGUACAGAGGGAUGCAAGAUCGAAAGAUGGAGCAAAUCUCCUAAAGCCGAUCUCAGUUCGGAUUGAGGGCUGAAAUUCGCCCUCAUGAAGUUGGAAUCGCUAGUAAUCGUGGGUCAGCCAUACCACGGUGAAUGUGUUCCCGAGCCUUGUACACACCGCCCGUCAAGCCACUGAAGCAGGGGUGGCCUGAAGUCACUGACCUAACCUUUUCGGAGGAAGGAGGUGCCCAAGGAAGCUUCUGUGACAGGGACUAAGUCGUAACAAGGUA
rnacentral:rRNA from 1 species